UACGGGGGGGGCAAGCGUUGUUCGGAAUUACUGGGCGUAAAGGGCUCGUAGGUGGCCAACUAAGUCAGACGUGAAAUCCCUCGGCUUAACCGGGGAACUGCGUCUGAUACUGGAUGGCUUGAGUCCGGGAGAGGGAUGCGGAAUUCCAGGUGUAGCGGUGAAAUGCGUAGAUAUCUGGAGGAACACCGGUGGCGAAGGCGGCAUCCUGGACCGGCACUGACACUGAGGAGCGAAAGCCAGGGGAGCAAACGGG
rnacentral:rRNA from 1 species